rnacentral:misc_RNA from 1 species
UAAUAAGUGUUUUAUGGCACUUUUUAAAUCCAUAUCCACCUUGUGUGCAAUGUCAGUCGAUCUUCUUCAUGGAGAUCGACCAAACAUCAACCUUUAUUUUUUAACUCUUUGUCUGAAAAAUGUUAUGAAUAAACAAUUCAAAAUA